UACAUGGGGUGCAAACGUUGCUCGGAAUUAUUGGGCGUAAAGCGCACGUAGGCGGUUAUUCAAGUCGGAUGUGAAAGCCCUUGGCUCAACCGAGGAAGUGCACCCGAAACUGGAUAGCUAGAGUACGAAAGAGGGUCGCGGAAUUCCCGGUGUAGAGGUGAAAUUCGUAGAUAUCGGGAGGAACACCAGUGGCGAAGGCGGCGAUCUGGGAAGAUACUGACGCUGAGGUGCGAAAGCGUGGGGAGCAAACAGG
rnacentral:rRNA from 1 species